CCCUUAGAUGUUCUGGGCUGCACGCGCGCUACACUGAAGCUAUCAACACGUUUUCCCUCCCUGAGAAGGGCGGGUAACCUUUUGAAUCAGCUUCGUGGUAGGGAUCGGGGCUUGCAAUUGUUCCCCGUGAACCAGGAAUUCCUAGUAGACGCGAGUCAUAAGCUCGCAUCGAUUAAGUCCCUGCCCUUUGUACACACCGCCCGUCGCUUCUACCGAUUGAACGUUUUAGUGAGGCAUUUGGACCGACGCAUCUCAGUUUAACCGCUGGUUUGUGUUGGAAAGACUUCCAAACUUGAGCGUUUAGAGGAAGUAAAAGUCGUAACA
rnacentral:rRNA from 1 species